rnacentral:lncRNA from 12 species
UGGUGAUAGGUGAGUCAGUGUUGUCAAUUUUUUUCAAAGUCUGUUGAGGACGUGUGAUCUAGGGGUUAACAUGGAGACCUGGAAAAACUAGAAUAAAACCAAGAUGCUAUACUUAGCUGAAUGACCUCACCAUGCUUUAUUUACCCCAUGUAGAAAAAUGAGGACACUGCUUCCUUCCUUCCAGGGUGCUUGUGAGAAAUACACUCAGAGUUUUCAGAGCCUCAGAUCCAAUCCCAUACAUACCACUGCCAUUAUCAGAAGGCUGUGCACAUGGCACUGUGGAUAAUACGCCUUACAUUAUGAUAACACUUGAUUUCCUAACGCUGUUAGGAAAUGCUGGGCCAUCAUUCAGUGUUUUCUAGAUUUUAUAGGUGGAAAGAUCUAUCAUAUUUCACCAGCCUGCCAAAGCUACUGUAACUGUUGUCUCAGUAUUCAAAGGAAUAAAUGAAGGAGGUGCCAUAUCACGGUUUGAAUUUCCAUGUGUAGCUGGAUUCUCUGAAGUUCAAUACUUAGGUGCUUUCUGUUCCAGCAUUAAAUGAUAAAGUUACUCAUCCAUACUGAAGUAUCUGAAGUUUUAUCAGGUAAUUACGAAAAUGAAAUAUUCUACACAAAGCACUAAAAUUUGUAUCUGAAAGAAUAGCUCAUAUUAUUCCUCAAUCAAUAUUGGCAUAUGUAAAACAGUUUUAAAACUCUCAACAAAAUAAUAAACUAAAACAUGUUCCUCUCUUCCUGUUAGUCAUUAUCUAUAUAUUUUUCUUUUAGAUAAACAAUCUACAGUGUGUUUACCGAAGCUUGCACUGAUAUUCCCCAAUAGUGUUUGCAACUUGAGUUUUAUUCCAGCAGCUACACGAAAUGAGUCCAGAGCACAGAGCAGGCAUGUCCCUCUGGAACCUGAGAUUAUUUGUUCUCUCACUGUUCUAAAGGAAACAGGCAGGCCUCAUGUGUCUCUGAAGUGGCCUCUGGGUGAAUUUCUGGACCAGUUGGACAAGGGCUAGUGCUGCACUUGGACAAAGGAAUGACAUUCAUGCCUACAUUCUAAUUCAUAGAGAUCCCCUGGAGGUUUGCUGGAGUUAC